rnacentral:lncRNA from 1 species
GAGUGCUGUCUAGAAGGUUUUGGAGUGUGGAUGCUGGUCCAAGAAAGAAGAUGUGCCCUGGCCUGCUGGAAAGAUUGUGAAUUCUAGAGAUAGAGCCGUUAGCAUCCAUCUCCUCCCUGUAACUCUUAGGAAAUGCAUCAAGGACCAUUAUAGAAAGGAUCCCCUGACCUAAGGAUGAAAUCGACCUAGGGUUAAUCAUGACAGCUGCAUCAGUUGUAUUGGAUGCAAGUCAACUCUGGAGUCCUCAUCCCUUGAAUGGACUUGUCAGCUACCUCCCCAGGAGGAGUUCAGAAGCUUCUGUUGGCCAUCACUUGAGUAGAUGACAAGCUGUAAGGUAUCUGCUGCUAACGUGGCUGCUUCUCCGAGAGCACAUUGAGGUCCAGACAGAUCCAAACCUUGGCCCUAAAAAAUGUGUGCUGUAAAGUUACUUGAUGUAUAUUUAUUAUAAUUAUUUAUGGUUGCAUUUAACAAACUUUUCAUUCAAUCUGAUGCUAUUUACACCAUGCUGUGUAAAGGAAGCUCACUAAAGGAAAAAAGUCACACCAAUAAAUAACCUUCAUCUAA